rnacentral:lncRNA from 1 species
CGCGGUGUGAGGGAGCGGGAGUCUUCCUUAGCUUCUCCGCCAUGGGUGUCGCUUCGUAGCCGGGCUGCUCCGGGAAAGGCCUCGUACAGCACGCAUUCACCAGAAUCCUGUCAGCUUUCCUCUUCUCAUCCAGACGCCUGGCCAGGAUCCUCGAUAAGACCGUGACCCCCAACUUGGACACCCCAUAAGGAAAACUAGACAAUCCACCAGCCCAGGAGGGGACAAGCAGGCUUAUUCCUCCUCCUCGUCAUCUCUGGCUCCAGCCCCACCCUGGCCCUUGCUGGCAUUCUUCCUCUUCACGUGGCUGGGGUUGGCCACCCCAAUAGGGAAGCAGAGGGAGAAGUCAAUGUGCUUCUGGGAAUCCAGGCGGACAGUGAAGAACAGGAUAUUUACCACCUGCUCACGGACACGGAUAUGACACUGUUGAAUCAGCACAUGAGCGUGGCGGAUGGACUUAGCCAAGCCAAGCUUGAAGACCUGGGUCUGUAGGAAUCUCUAAGAAAUCAUUGAUCUUCAGGCCCAGGAUGUAAUCCAGCUUCAUCUUGCCCUCAUCCAGCACCCCAGUGCGGACCAGCCACUGCAGCAGGGCAAUGCCUUCGAACAGACGCCGUGGGUCCUUCUCAUCAAGCGUCAGCAGCUCCCGGGCGGCCUUAUGGAUCUUGACCAGGGUAAAUUUGACCCUCCAGACCUCACAUUUGUUCUGGAGCCCAUACUCACCAAUCAGCUUUAGCUUUUGGUCGAGAUGAGGUUUCUCGAAGGGUCUCUGCAGGGUCACAUAAGUUUGGCAACAAACCCAGCUCUGGGCCGCUGGCAUGUUGGCUCCACUUGCCCGUCUAUGCCUAAGCACAGGCCCUGGUCACUGAGAAAGAGCUCAAAUUUUUUAUAUAUUUCAUCUAAGGUGUUGAUUCUAUUGAUACCCUUAUCCUUUUAACAUGCCCUUAUCCUUUUAAUGUUGGUAAUGAUGCUACCUGUCAUUUCUGAGACUGGUUUGUGUCUUUCGUGUUUUUUUCUGAUCUGUCUGGCUAGAGGUUUACCAAUUGAUUUGAUUUUCCUCAAACUUCUGGUUACAAUGAUUCUCUCUCUCUCUCUUUUCCUGAUUAUAUUAAUUUCUGUUCUGAUCUUUGUUUCCUUUCUUCUGCUUACUGGAUUUUAUUUGCUCUUUUUCUGGUUUCUUACUGUAAAGGCAGAAGUCAUUGAUUUGCAUUGAUUUGAGACUUCUUUUCUAAUGUAGGCAGUAAGUGGUGUAAAUUCCCUUUUAGUAUGACUUUAGUGGCAUCUCACAUUGAUAUGUUUUCAAUUUCAUUCAGUUUAUUUUUAUUUAUUUUUUAAAUUAUUUAUUUAUUUAUUUAUUUUGAGUUGUGUAGCCCUUUAUUAGCAACUAAAAUAGAAGGUAUCUGUUGUACAACAUGGGUAGUAAUUGACUAUAACUGGAGAUUUAUUAUAUUCUAAUACAGAUCAUUUAUAAAUGCAAUUUCUUUAUUAAAAAGCUUCCACC